GAGGGUAUAGCUCAGUGGUAGAGCGCUGCUUAGCAUGCAUGAGGCCCUGGGUUCAUUCCCCAGUACUUCCA
rnacentral:tRNA from 1 species